rnacentral:misc_RNA from 1 species
GAUGAAGAACGUAGUGAAAUGCGAAAAGUAAUGUGAAUUGCAGAAUUCAGUGAAUCAUCGAAUCUUUGAACGCACAUUGCGCCCGCCAGUAUUCUGGCGGGCAUGCCUGUCUGAGCGUCAUUUCAACCCUCACGCCCCUAGGGCGUGGUGUUGGGGAUCGGCCAAGGCCCGCAAGGGACGGCCGGCCCCUAAAUCUAGUGGCGGACCCAUCGUGGCCUCCCCUGCGAAGUAGUAAUAUAUUCCGCAUCGGAUAGCGAUGAGCCCCUGCCGUUAAACCCCCAACUCUUUCAAGGUUGACCUCAGAUCAGGUAGGAAUACCCGCUGAACUUAAGCAUAUCAAUAAGCGGAGGA